CGCAGGCCCUGGCUGCAGGCCUUUUUUUUCUUUUCUUUUUUUUUUUUUUGGCGGUGGGGGCGGGUGAUCUGCUCUCCUGGGGCGGUUGUUACGACCCGGAAUUAGUUUUGUUUGCAAGUCUGAUUCAAGAAAGGCAUUUGAGAGAGUCGGCCAUAGCGCAGCGGGUUAAGGGCACGUGGCGCCACGCGCAAGGACCAGCAUAAGAAUCCCACCUGAAGGGGAGUCACUUCACAGGCGGUGAAGCGAGUCUGCAGGUGUCUCUUUCUCUCUCCCUCUCUGCCUUCCCCUCCUCUCUCCGUUUCUCUCUGUCCUAUCUAACAACGAUGACAUCAAUAAUCACUACAACAAUAAAACAAGGGGAACAAAAGAGAAAAUAAACAAAUAUUAAGAAAAAGAAAUGCACUUGAACUAGAGUUUUUCCGUCUCUCCUUUUCCCAGGAGGCUUUCCUCCCCUUUCUAAAUUCUUUCUGCAUGCACUUGAACUACGCUUGAGUUUUCCCCUCUCCUGUUGCAGGAGAAUUUCUUCCACUUGAUAAAUUCGGAAAAGGAAGGCCUUGUUUUUGGUCUUGCAUUUCUGAAGGCAGACACCUCCCACUGUUUUCCAGCCAGCUAGCUCUCUUGUUUUGAUAGUUGCUGGGUGAAAGGGCCAGAGCAAACUUGUGAGCAUCUUCCUUAGUGGACAAACCUUCCAGGGAAGAAAAAGAAGGGCAAAGAAAGAUAGAUACCUGCAGACGUGUGACAUCCCCCUGCAGAAAGAAGCUGAGGCCAAGUGCUCAUGAAUAUGCCUACAGAGAACCUGGUUUUUCAACAAGAAAAUACAGGUAAUGACCAGCCCUGGAAAUGGUA